rnacentral:lncRNA from 1 species
AUAUAUGCCUACUCAAGCCUUGAUGUUCCAUUUCUUGGGCUGAAGUUGACUAACUCUUAUUUGGGCCUAUCCAAUUUAAAAGAUUCAUUACAAUACCCUCCCCUUUAAAAUCAACCUUGUCCUCAAGGUUGUAAAAAUUGCUCACAACACAAAUUUUACCCGGAUCCCAUUGUUUGAAUGGUGACCACAUAACUUCUGUAUAGUUCCUCAAUUGUGCACCAGGAUCCCAUUGAUGCCCAUUUUGCAUUCUCACUGGUUUGGUGUAGUCACAAGGUUCCAGAAUUAU